UCAGAAAUCAUUUGAAAUCUAAAAUUUAAAAUUAAAUAUAAAUAGUACCUAACAAAAAAUAACCCCAUAAUGUAUAAUUAACGACCAUGAUCACGAGAUCCUCUCGAUGGAGAUAAAAGGAUCCGGCCGUAACGUAAAGCCACGGAAAAUAAGCCACCUUUUGACAAGCCCUCCGAGAUUCAGGCACAUAAAAGUACGAGACGAAAAGUACAACUAAUUUUUCUUCAAAAAAAAAAAAGGUACAACUAAUUAAGUAGCGACUUUGAUUAAGGUUUUUUUUAGCAGAGUGAGGCGAAUGUAUAGGGAAGCAAAAGAUUAUGACUAGCUAUAACUUCACCAACCAAAAAAAUUAAAACAAAAGUAUAAGUAAAUAAAUGCAAUGAAAGAAUUUGAGGAAAGCCUUUUGAGCUACUUAACCUAGGUUUUGAGCUAACUUCACCGAUCCCCUUUCUUUUUAAUAAUUAACAAUUAACAAUGAACAAUUUAACCAUCAAUGCUAUCGUUAAAAAAAAAUAAAACGAAAAAAGAGAGAUCUUUUUUUUUUUAAAUACAAAUGAAUUCAUUAAAAUUAAAAUUAAAAAUCACAUGUAGAUGGACAUGGAGAGGGGUAUAGUAAAGCAACACGACAAAGUAGAUGAUGAGAGCCCUUGACAUUGAGAGUUGAGAGACAAAUUAAUAAUCCUGACAACCGGAAUUUAAUAUGCAUACGAUCCAACCAAACAUGACGCUACAAACAAAACAAAAUUUGGCAGACAAACAAAACCCUUGGCAUUUGACCACCCAAAUCCAUCAUUUUAAAUACAGAUUACUUAACAUAACCAUUUAUAAAUACAUAUAUAUAUAUAUAUAUGUAUGUAUAUAUCGUUAUGAAGCGAAAUGCACGCCUAAACAUAGCUAGCCAUGCACAAGACUGGCUAAACUUGCAUGAUUUUGUGUGUGUGUGUGUGUGUGUGAGAGAGAGAGAGAGAGAGAGAUGAAUUACUUACAGAGAGAACUGGGAGAGGGACGAGUAUGGAAGUGAGAGACACCUUCACGAGCGGUGUAGCUUCAAAAUAUAUUUAUGAGUAUUUAUGAGAAAAGGAGAAGGCAAUGGGGGUCGUUAAUAAUUAGUUAGUUGAAAUAAUAGGUGGGAAGGAUGUAGGGGAAUAAAUUUAGGGGUGUGCUAUAAAUGUAGAUAGCAAGAAGGAAAUUUUCCAAGUUUUGUUUUUGUCCCCUUCAAUAUUAUUAUUUUUAUCACAACAUUUCUUUGGUGUACUAAAUUAAACAACAUUCAAAGUGAAACAUGAUAUGUGCCCUAAACACGAAAGAAAUCAUUUUUUUGGAACUUUUGUGUAUCUGUUAAGUCUUACGUUAAUCAAUGACAUAACAUAAUUUUUUUAAUAGGCCAAUGUCAAGUAAUGUUAUCAAUUAAAUGAAUAAUAGAUCUAUUUAUGGUCAAUUAGCUUCAAGCCCUUUGACCAUGUUCGGGUGAAAAAAUUUCAAGUUCAAGGAACUGAUGCCAAACUAAUAAAGAUGAUCACAUAAUAUUAGACAAUAGGAUUAGAAGUGCACAAUAUAUGAGUAUUAAAAUGGCAUGAAAGAGACAAUUAUGAAUAACUCCUUCUAAAUAACAUAAGGAUUUGUAAUCACAUUUAUGGUGCAAUUUAAUCUCUCCUAAAUAACAUUUCUUGAUUCAUUACUUACUAACUCGAGCUCAGUUCCUUAGAACUUGGAAAUCCGUCACUCAAGGCCUGGUAAUUUUGUUUGUUAUGGUCAAUAUAUAUCCUACUAAUAGAUCCGAAUGAACCAUUUCUCUCAACCGAUGACUCACUGAGUCACAGCACUACUUCAAACCUCAAAGUGCAGAUGGUCUGCAAAACCUACCUAGACAGAGAGCUUUUAUUACUUAUUUCCCAUUGACGUAAUGCAACUCGGGGAAGUUGCACCGGUAAAAAUCAAUAGUCAUUACAUACGCACCUUAGUUAAGUCACAUCCAUCACCCAAAAAGACCAAGAUAGCUGAAUAACUCGACCUUAUAAUUAGUGUUAAUCCUCACCCAUUGGUUAACAAUAUGCAAUGAUAUAUGGGUCACAUCUUCUUAUCCUUUUGGAUAAAUUAGUUAGUUGCCGGAUUUCUUUGUAUAUACUUAGCAAUAUGUGUCUGCAAAGUUUAAGCAUGCUUUCUUGCUUUCGAUUAUUGUGACGACCCGUCUCUAAAUUUCUAUGUAAUUUUUUUCCCCGAGUAUGUAAAUUGACAUUUAUGUCAUUGUGGCCAAAGUGACAUGGAUGUGGACGUGGUUAUUCAACUUUAAUUUAUUUUUCUUGUUAUUGUAAUUAAUUAGUACUCAUUGUUACGAUUGUGUGAGCAUGAAUUAGAUCCGAAUCGGAUUUGUAAUGAAAAAGUUAUGCACAGUUAAAGUAUGUUAACAACGGAUAGAGUUGUACACGUGUGUGUUAAUUUAUCAGAAAUCAUUUGAAAUUUAAAAUUUAAAAUUAAAUAUAAAUAGUACCUAACAAAAAUUAAUCGCAUUAUGUAUGAUUAACGGCCAUGAUCACGAGAUCCCCGGAUGGCCGGGAAAAGGAUCCGGCCGUAACGUAAAGCCACGGAAAAACAGCAACCUUUUGACAAGCCCUCGGAGAUUCAGGCACAUAAUAUGCAUGACUACUUUCAACUAACUAGUUAAGGCAGAAAAGUACGAGACGGAAAGUACAACUAAUUUUUCUUUAAAAAAAAAAGGUACAACUAAUUAAGGAGCGACUUUGAUUAAGGUUUUUUUUAGCAGAGUGAGGCGAAUGUAUAGGGAAGCAAAAGAUUAUGACUAGCUAUAACUUCACCAACCAAAAAAAAUUAAAACAAAAGUAAAGUAAAUAAAUGCAAUGAAAGAAUUUGAGGAAAGCCUUUUGAGCUACUUAACCUAGGUUUUGAGCUAACUUCACCGAUCCCCUUUCUUUUUAACAAUUAACAAUUAACAAUUUAACCAUUAAUGUUAUCGUUAAAAAAACAAAAAGAAAAAAGAGAGAUCUUUUUUUUUUUUAAAUACAAAUGAAUUCAUUAAAAUUAAAAUUAAAAAUCACAUGCAAAUGGACAGGGAGAGGGGUAUAGUAAAGCAACACGACGAAGUAGAUGAUGAGAGCCCUUGACAUUGAGAGUUGAGAGACAAAUUAAUAAUCCUGACAACCGGAAUUUAAUAUGCAUCCGAUCCAACCAAACAUGACGCUACAAACAAAACAAAAUUUGGCAGACAAACAAAACCCUUGGCAUUUGACCACCCAAACCCAUCAUUUUAAAUACAGAUUACUUAACAUAACCAUUUAUAAAUACACACACACAUAUAUAUAUAUAUAUGUAUGUAUAUAUCGUUAUGAAGCGAAAUGCACGCCUAAACAUAGCUAGCCAUGCACAAGACUGGCUAAACUUGCAUGCUUUUGUAUGUGUGUG
rnacentral:lncRNA from 1 species